rnacentral:lncRNA from 10 species
CUCCAGUUUAGAUAAGGGAUGAUCCUUAUUCCUGAACUUUCCUUCAGUUAGAAUGUAGGACGACACAUGGCCUGAGGGACAGAGGCCGCAAGAAGAAACAAGGUUCCUAUGUGGAAGCCCUAAAUUCCAGUAUCUCAGAAUGUGACUGCAUUUGAAGAUAGUGCCUUAAAAAAGGUGAUUAAUUUAAAAUGAAGCCAGUAGAGUGGGCUCUAAUCCAGUCCGACUGCUGAACUUAUAAGAAGAGAAAAUUUGGAUGCAGAGAUGAGGAGAGAGGCCUCAGAAGAAACCAAACCUGCCAAAUCCUUGAUCUUUGCUCCCAAUCUCACCCAUCACUGUAAGAAAAGAAAUUCUGUCACUUAAGCCACCCAGUCUGUGGUAUUUUCUUAUGGCAGCCCUAGCAAAUUAAUAUGCCAACCUAAAAUAUUUGAUUGAUAUAAAAUGUCUUAUUUUCUAAAG